GCGGANGGAUCAUUACCGAGUUAUACAACUCAUCAACCCUGUGAACAUACCUAAAACGUUGCUUCGGCGGGAACAGACGGCCCCGUAACACGGGCCGCCCCCGCCAGAGGACCCCCUAACUCUGUUUCUAUUAUGUUUCUUCUGAGUAAAACAAGCAAAUAAAUUAAAACUUUCAACAACGGAUCUCUUGGCUCUGGCAUCGAUGAAGAACGCAGCGAAAUGCGAUAAGUAAUGUGAAUUGCAGAAUUCAGUGAAUCAUCGAAUCUUUGAACGCACAUUGCGCCCGCCAGUAUUCUGGCGGGCAUGCCUGUUCGAGCGUCAUUACAACCCUCAGGCCCCCGGGCCUGGCGUUGGGGAUCGGCGAGGCGCCCCCUGCGGGCACACGCCGUCCCCCAAAUACAGUGGCGGUCCCGCCGCAGCUUCCAUUGCGUAGUAGCUAACACCUCGCAACUGGAGAGCGGCGCGGCCACGCCGUAAAACACCCAACUUCUGAAUGUUGACCUCGAAUCAGGUAG
rnacentral:rRNA from 1 species